rnacentral:rRNA from 1 species
AGCGGCGGACGGGUGAGUAACGCGUAGGAAUCUACCCAGUAGCGGGGGAUAGCCCGGGGAAACCCGGAUUAAUACCGCAUACGCCCUACGGGGGAAAGCAGGGGAUCUUCGGACCUUGCACUAUUGGAAGAGCCUGCGUUGGAUUAGCUAGUUGGUGGGGUAAAGGCCCACCAAGGCGACGAUCCAUAGCUGGUCUGAGAGGAUGAUCAGCCACACCGGAACUGAGACACGGUCCGGACUCCUACGGGAGGCAGCAGUGGGGAAUAUUGGACAAUGGGGGCAACCCUGAUCCAGCCAUGCCGCGUGUGUGAAGAAGGCCUUCGGGUUGUAAAGCACUUUAAGCGAGGAGGAAGGCUGUACGGUUAAUACCCGUGCGGAUUGACGUUACUCGCAGAAUAAGCACCGGCUAACUCCGUGCCAGCAGCCGCGGUAAUACGGAGGGUGCAAGCGUUAAUCGGAAUUACUGGGCGUAAAGCGCGCGUAGGCGGCUGAUUAAGUCGGGUGUGAAAGCCCCGGGCUCAACCUGGGAACUGCAUCCGAUACUGGUCGGCUAGAGUAUGAGAGAGGGAGGUAGAAUUCCACGUGUAGCGGUGAAAUGCGUAGAUAUGUGGAGGAAUACCGGUGGCGAAGGCGGCCUCCUGGCUUAAUACUGACGCUGAGGUGCGAAAGCGUGGGGAUCGAACAGGAUUAGAUACCCUGGUAGUCCACGCUGUAAACGAUAUCAACUAGCUGUUGGAGGCCCUGGUGCCUUUAGUAGCGUAGCUAACGCACUAA